CCCUUAGAUGUUCUGGGCUGCACGCGCGCUACACUGAAGCUAUCAACACGUUUUCCCUCCCUGAGAAGGGCGGGUAACCUUUUGAAUCAGCUUCGUGGUAGGGAUCGGGGCUUGCAAUUGUUCCCCGUGAACCAGGAAUUCCUAGUAGACGCGAGUCAUAAGCUCGCAUCGAUUAAGUCCCUGCCCUUUGUACACACCGCCCGUCGCUACUACCGAUUGAACGUUUUAGUGAGGCAUUUGGACCGACGCAUCUCAGUUUAACCGCUGGUUUGUGUUGGAAAGACUUCCAAACUUGAGCGUUUAGAGGAAGUGAAAGUCGUAAC
rnacentral:rRNA from 1 species